rnacentral:rRNA from 1 species
UAGGCGUAAAUGAUGCGAGUUAAGUGUGGGGCAUCUACGAGAUGGCCCUGUGCUGUAGGGUAGCCGUUAAACUCGCUGCCUGGGGAGUACGGUCGCAAGGCUGAAACUUAAAGGAAUUGGCGGGGGAGCACCACAACGGGUGGAGCUUGCGGUUUAAUUGGAUUCAACGCCGGAAAUCUUACCGGGACCGACAGCAACAUGAAGGCCAGGCUGAAGACUUUGCCGGAUUAGCUGAGAGGUGGUGCAAUGGCGUAGUCGUGU